rnacentral:tRNA from 1 species
UUUAUAUAGUUUAAAAAAACAUUACAUUUUCAUUGUAAAGAUAAAAAAUUAAUUUUUUAUAAAUAAAUA